rnacentral:lncRNA from 1 species
UUCAAAUCCAAAGCAAACUGAGAUAGCACUUCCAACCCACUAGAAUAAUCAAAAUCAAGAAGACACUUACAAGUGCUGGUGAGAAUGCAGAGAAAUUACAGCCUUUAUAUAUUGCUGGUGUGUUUGGAAAAUGAAGCAGCCACUAUGAAAAGCAAUUUGACAGUUCUUCAAAAUGUUAAAAAGAGUGACCACAUGACUCAAAAAUUAUACUCUUGAGUAUAAGCCUCCUCCUCCACAAAAACAAACUAUAGGUACACACAAAAAAAUGUUAACUUGUAAAUGAAUGUUCCUGGCAGCAUCAUUCAUAAUGGCCAGGGACCGGGGAUGUAGCUCAGUGGCACCGCGCCUGCCUCUCAAGCACAAGGUCCUGAGUUCCAUCCCUGGUACCGAAAAAUAAAUAAAUAAAUAAAGACAUAAUGGCCAAAAAGUGAAAGCAACCGAAAUGCCUGUCAAUUAAUUAAUGUAUUAAACAAACAUGGUAUGGCCAUAUAUUAACAUAUUAUUCAUUAUUAACUAGAGACAAGAAAUGGAAUACUGAUACAUGCUACAACCUGCAUGAAACUUGAAAACAUUACGCUAAAUGAAAGAAAAAGACAUAUUACAAGAAAAAGGCCACAUAUUAAGAUGUUGUGUACAUGUACCAACUCCACACAAGGAAAUCCACAAAGACUUUGGAUCUACAACACCAUCCAGGGUUCCCUUCUGGAGGGAAUUAUCGUGUUGACAAGAGGGUCUUCAAAUGCAACCUCCAGGCUGGGCAGUAGUGCCCCCAUUAGCAGGCAGUCCAGCACAAUGAAGCCCCCAGGCCAAGAACCAUGUCAGGUGCCUCCCAGUGACCAAUCUGUAACCAGGAGUGGGCCCAUUCAAAACAGCGCAAGGGAGAUUUGUUUUCCAAGAGCAAAGGAAACAAACUAGGAGACAAUUCUCCAAAGACUGAACAUUCACAACCAACAAAUGCCUGCUGGAAAUUUAUAUGCCUUGAGUGUAAAAGCAGUGAAAUUCGAUAAUCUCAAAGCCACAGAUUUGUAACUUGCACUUAUGUAAAUAUUUAUGGAUUCUUUGGGGAAAAAAAUCAAUCCUCUCAGCCUUUCUCUUUAGUGCAUGCUUCAGAGGGAACAUUUUUUUUCUUCCUCCCAAGAUGAGGAUGUAAACUCUAGCUAUUGCUCAGAAAAAUUAAGUCAGCAGCCUGCCUAGGAAUAAUCUAAAAUCCAUUCGUGCUUUCACUCUAAUAGAUUAUAUGGCAUUCUCUGCCCCAACACCAGAUAAAACACAGGAAAAUAGGAAGGGACCCUCUGUGGCCUGGCCUCAGGAAGACUGGGGGUUAAAGUUGACCAGGUCAGUAGCACUUCUGCA